rnacentral:tRNA from 1 species
GCGGACGUAGCCGAAUUGGUACAGGCGCCAGACUUAGGAUCUGGUGGGUUUUUUUCCCGCUGUGGGUUCGAGUCCCACCGUCCGCACCC